GACGAACGCUGGCGGCGUGCUUAACACAUGCAAGUCGAACGGUGAUGCUCCAGCUUGCUGGCGUGGAUCAGUGGCGAACGGGUGAGUAACACGUGAGCAACCUGCCCCAGACUCUGGAAUAAGCGCUGGAAACGGCGUCUAAUACUGGAUACGAAACUGGCCCGCAUGGGCAUGGUUUGGAGAGUUUUUCGGUUUGGGAUGGGCUCGCGGCCUAUCAGCUUGUUGGUGGGGUAAUGGCUCACCCAGGCAACGGCGGGUAGCCGGCCUGAGAGGGCGACCGGCCACACUGGGACUGAGACACGGCCCAGACUCCUACGGGAGGCAGCAGUGGGGAAUAUUGCACAAUGGGCGAAAGCCUGAUGCAGCGACGCCGCGUGAGGGAUGACGGCCUUCGGGUUGUAAACCUCUUUCAGCAGGGAAGAAGCGAAAGUGACGGUACCUGCAGAAGAAGCACCGGCUAACUACGUG
rnacentral:rRNA from 1 species